ACUCCUUCUUAUGUUGCCUUCACUGACACCGAGCGUCUCAUUGGGGAUGCAGCUAAGAACCAAGUUGCUAUGAACCCUCAAAACACUGUCUUUGAUGCCAAACGUCUCAUUGGUAGGCGGUUUUCUGAUCCUUCUGUGCAGAGCGACAUGAAGCACUGGCCUUUCAAGGUUAUUUCUGGUCCUGGUGAUAAGCCUAUGAUUGUGGUGCAAUACAAAGGUGAAGAAAAGCAAUUUGCGCCUGAGGAGAUUUCUUCUAUGGUGCUAACCAAGAUGAAGGAGAUUGCAGAGGCUUAUCUGGGUCAGACAGUGAAGAAUGCCGUGAUCACAGUGCCUGCUUAUUUCAAUGACUCGCAAAGGCAGGCCACCAAGGAUGCUGGUGCUAUUGCAGGGGUGAACGUCAUGAGAAUUAUCAAUGAGCCUACAGCUGCAGCCAUUGCUUACGGUUUGGACAAGAAAGGUUCGAGUACUGGAGAAAAGAACGUGUUGAUUUUCGAUCUUGGUGGAGGGACAUUUGAUGUUUCUCUUCUGACGAUCGAGGAGGGUAUAUUUGAAGUGAAGGCAACAGCUGGAGACACCCACCUUGGAGGAGAGGACUUCGAUAAUAGGCUUGUCAACCAUUUCGUUGCAGAGUUCAAGAGGAAGCACAAGAAGGAUAUUAGUACUAAUGCGAGAGCCUUGAGAAGGUUGAGAACCGCCUGCGAGAGGGCAAAGAGGACUCUGUCUUCAACCUCGCAAACAACCAUUGAGAUUGAUUCUCUCUACGAAGGGAUUGAUUUCUAUGCGACCAUCACUAGAGCAAGAUUUGAAGAGCUGAACAUGGAUUUGUUUAGAAAGUGCAUGGAACCCGUGGAGAAAUGUCUUCGUGACUCCAAGAUCGAUAAGAGUCAAGUUCAUGACGUUGUGCUCGUUGGUGGGUCAACAAGAAUUCCUAAAGUUCAGCAACUUUUGCAAGAUAUCUUCAACGGAAAGGAGCUCUGCAAGAGCAUAAACCCCGACGAGGCUGUCGCUUAUGGAGCAGCUGUCCAAGCUGCAAUUCUUAGUGGUGAAGGGGAUGAGAAAGUUCAAGAUUUACUUCUCUUGGAUGUUACUCCUCUCAGCCUCGGAAUUGAGACUGCUGGUGGUGUAAUGACAGUCUUGAUUCCAAGGAACACCACUAUUCCUACCAAAAAAGAGCAAAUCUUCUCUACAUACUCUGAUAAUCAACCAGGAGUGCUUAUUCAGGUGUAUGAAGGUGAAAGAGCUAGAACCAAGGAUAAUAAUCUUCUUGGAAAAUUCGAGCUCACCGGAAUCCCUCCUGCACCCAGAGGCGUUCCUCAGAUUAAUGUGUGUUUCGACAUUGACGCCAAUGGUAUUGUGAAUGUCUCUGCUGAGGAUAAGACUGCUGGAGUGAAGAACAAGAUAACAAUCACUAACGAUAAAGGAAGAUUGAGCAAGGAAGAGAUUGAAAGAAUGGUGCAAGAAGCAGAGAAGUACAAAGCAGAGGAUGAGGAGGUGAAGAAGAAGGUGGAGGCCAAGAACUCUUUGGAGAACUACGCAUACAACAUGAGAAAUACAGUGAAGGAUGACAA
rnacentral:misc_RNA from 1 species